AGUGAACGCUGGCGGCAGGCCUAACACAUGCAAGUCGAACGGCAGCACAAGAGUGCUUGCUCUCGGGGUGGCGAGGGGCGGACGGGUGAGGAAUGCAUCGGAAUCUGCUCAUUUGUGGGGGAUAACCUCGGGAAACCGGGACUAAUACCGCAUACGACCUACGGGUGAAAGCAGGGGAUCUUGGGACCUUGCGCAGAUGGAUGAGCCGAUGCCGGAUGAGAUAGUUGGAGGGGUAAAGGCCCACCAAGGCGACGAUCCGUACAUGGUCUGAGAGGAUGAUCAGCCACACUGGGACUGAGCCACGGCCCAUACUCCUACGGGAGGCAGCAGUGGGGAAUAUUGGACAAUGGGGGCAAGCCUGAUACAGCCAUGCCGCGUGUGUGAAGAAGGCCUUCGGGUUGUAAAGCACUUUUGUUGGGAAAGAAAAGCUGCCGGUUAAUACCCAGUUGUCAUGACGGUACCCAAAGAAUAAGCACCGGCUAACUACGUG
rnacentral:rRNA from 1 species